AGAGUUUGAUCAUGGCUCAGAACGAACGCUGGCGGCAGGCUUAACACAUGCAAGUCGAACGCACCGCAAGGUGAGUGGCAGACGGGUGAGUAACGCGUGGGAACGUACCUUUCGGUUCGGAAUAACCCAGGGAAACUUGGGCUAAUACCGAAUUCGCCGGAAACGGGAAAGAUUUAUCGCCGAAAGAUCGGCCCGCGUCGGAUUAGCUAGUUGGUGGGGUAAUGGCCUACCAAGGCGACGAUCCGUAGCUGGUCUGAGAGGAUGAUCAGCCACACUGGGACUGAGACACGGCCCAGACUCCUACGGGAGGCAGCAGUGGGGAAUAUUGGACAAUGGGCGCAAGCCUGAUCCAGCCAUGCCGCGUGAGUGAAGAAGGCCUUAGGGUUGUAAAGCUCUUUCAGCGGGGACGAUAAUGACGGUACCCGCAGAAGAAGCCCCGGCUAACUUCGUGCCAGCAGCCGCGGUAAUACGAAGGGGGCUAGCGUUGUUCGGAAUUACUGGGCGUAAAGCGCGCGUAGGCGGACAUUUAAGUCAGGGGUGAAAUCCCAGGGCUCAACCCUGGAACUGCCUUUGAUACUGGAUGUCUGGAGUUCGGGAGAGGUGAGUGGAAUUCCGAGUGUAGAGGUGAAAUUCGUAGAUAUUCGGAGGAACACCAGAAGCGAAGGCGGCUCACUGGCCCGAUACUGACGCUGAGGCGCGAAAGCGUGGGGAGCAAACAGGAUUAGAUACCCCCGUAGUCC
rnacentral:rRNA from 2 species